CCGAUUCAAACCUUCCAGCAUGAGUGGCAGGGAUAUAGAAGAAAAAACACUAUUUUAGUCAAUUUUCUCAAGUCCCAGGCGGUUAUAGCAUCUUCUCUCACCAGGGAAUUGAUAUUGCACACUGGCAUUUGGUUAGUCACGUCAGACUUGACGCACCUGUCCACAGGGCCGAGAGGCACUCUGGAAACGUCUGGCUAAUCCAGCUGCCACGCGAACAGUAACGGAACUGUUACUGCAGCUGGAGAAGACAGCGUCAUCCCUGUCUGGCUGAUCCCCACUCAACAACCCACAGAGAAGCUUCUGAUGUUCGCCCAUCUCAUACACAAGGAAGUGGAUGGAGCUCAGAGGACUAACAGGUGUAGGAGAAGCCAGGCUCUGUGCCUCUGAGCUUGAAUCGGAGUUUUCUGACGUUGACACGUCUAUUCUUAGUGAUGGUCGAAGAUCAUGCAGUCAGAUACAAGCACUUCCUGUUCUCAGAAUAACCUUCGCUCCAGUCAGGAGCCCUACAUGUUUCCCUGGCUCCAGUGUCUGCUCUGUACCCUCUGUAACCACUCCCUGGUAUUCCCCAUGGAUGGGCUCCCAGAUCCUUGUAGAAACCAAGGUCUUGGGAUGCACGAAACCUUUACAAAGAAGGGAGUCAUCAUGGCACACAACUGGCAUGUAUCCUCCAUGCAGUGCGGAUCAUUUCCACAUUAUUUAUGAUGCCUAAUUCAACAUGCACGCUGUGUAGACAGGUCCAGUGGUCAGUACUUCAUAUGGUGCUGCAUAGCCUGCCCAGUGUCCGGCUCCUGGGUGGGAGAGUCUUGGUGCUCUUGCAUGCACUGUAGAGUUCUUCGUGACUGCCAUACAAUGUACAUGGACUACAUGCUUAAUAAAGAGGCAAUCUGCCAUGGAGGUGUCACACAGCCUGCUUCCUCCUGGGACCUCUCUCCUUGACUUGCCACAGGCUUGCCUCUCUGUAUGUGUGUCUUAGUCACUGUUCUAUUGCCGUGAAGGGACACCAUGAUCAUGGCAACCGUUUAAAAUAAAAAGAGUGCAUUUGAUUGGGACUUGCUUACAGUUUCAGAGUUUAGUCCAUUUUCCUCAUGGAGGGAAGCAUGGUGGC
ensembl:lncRNA